rnacentral:tRNA from 3 species
GGAGAGUUGGCAGAGCGGUCGAAUGCGGCGGUCUUGAAAACCGUUAGCCCGCAAGGGCUCGGGGGUUCGAAUCCCUCACUCUCCGCCA